UUCGGUAGGUGAACCUGCGGAGGGAUCAUUACCGAGUUUACAACUCCCAAACCCCUGUGAACAUACCACUUGUUGCCUCGGCGGAUCAGCCCGCUCCCGGUAAAACGGGACGGCCCGCCAGAGGACCCCUAAACUCUGUUUCUAUAUGUAACUUCUGAGUAAAACCAUAAAUAAAUCAAAACUUUCAACAACGGAUCUCUUGGUUCUGGCAUCGAUGAAGAACGCAGCAAAAUGCGAUAAGUAAUGUGAAUUGCAGAAUUCAGUGAAUCAUCGAAUCUUUGAACGCACAUUGCGCCCGCCAGUAUUCUGGCGGGCAUGCCUGUUCGAGCGUCAUUUCAACCCUCAAGCACAGCUUGGUGUUGGGACUCGCGUUAAUUCGCGUUCCCCAAAUUGAUUGGCGGUCACGUCGAGCUUCCAUAGCGUAGUAGUAAAACCCUCGUUACUGGUAAUCGUCGCGGCCACGCCGUUAAACCCCAACUUCUGAAUGUUGACCUCGGAUCAGGUAGGG
rnacentral:rRNA from 1 species